CGAGCUCCAUUAGUCUCCCCUUCCAUCUCCGUAGAGCAUACCUCCCUUCUUUCUUGCUUAAUGCAAGAUCAAAAGGGUCCACAGAUAAGUCGCGAAAUUGCAAUCCUUUGCAUUUUUUUCUUUACAAUCGCCAUCUACGUUGUAGUCUGAAGAAUUCUUUUGCAUUUCACGCGACAAUUCUUUCCAGAAAGCCAUGGUACCAAAGGUUGAUGGAGGCUAUGAUUCUUUGGAAGAAUGCGAGGAAGUCUCCGGCGGUGGAUUCAAGAUCAGAUUCAGCAAACGCCGACAGGUCGAAGUUGAGGAAAUGCACCUCUUUGAAGGUUGCGUCUUCCUUCACCCGAGUGUGUCUCUGCUCCCCGAUCUCCUCCUACAAUGAGGUGUUUCGGGCCGACGUCCCCCCGAGGAGGAGCUUCAGCUACCCGAGCUCGAAAGCUUUUGCGCCCCCGUCGCAUCGGGUCAUCGGCACAAGGAAUUCACUGGAAACGAGGAGAGUGUUCAGGGGGAAGUCGCUGACGGAGGAUACAUUGAUGAGGAGGUUUGUGGUGGAGGAGGAAGCGAUGAUGCAGCUGAAGAGGAGGAACCAGAUGGAGUUUGUGAGGCAGAGGAAUGCGAUGAAGAGGAAGAAGCUCGGGCCUAGUCCUCUCUGCAGGAUGGCAAUGGCUGCAGAAGAGCCCAGCCCACCAAGAUCUACAUACAAUUAGGGUUUCUUCAUCUGAUACCCAUUCUUUGGCUCUAUAUAUGCCACUCGCUUCUAGGGGUUCGUAACCCUCCACUGAAGAAAAGUGGCUCUAAUUCCUUGGCCGUAAAGGCGUCCAGUUAUCUUCAGGCUUCAGCGCCAAAGCGGAGAGGUGGCAGACUGCCACUGUCACGCCAUGAAGAAACCACAGUCCUCAGGCAUCUGGCGCUUUGCAACCACACCUCCACUGUUGCUUCUGAGCAAGCAGAGAAGACUCGAUCUCACUCACUCUCUCUCAACCCUGGCACCGUCUAGUUGCCAUCAAGGAAAUGACUAAUCAAUUAAGCGUACAGUAGACCCUAAACCCUUCUUCCUCCUUCUCCUCUUCUUCCCCAACCUCCCAGUCUCUCUUUCUAUCUCCAUGGCUCCCUCCUUCUCCUUCUUGUUCUUCUUCUUGCUGACUGUUACUUCUACUGCUACUCACAACAGGAGGGCUCUUCAUCAGCCUUUCUUCCCCAAAUACUCCUCGUCCUCUUAUUCCUCUUCAUCUUCCCACCCAACCUUCGGCGCCUUCUUCCCUCUUGAACCCUCCCCGCCGCAUCCGCCUCCUGCGUCCUCCACCGCUGCCUUUCCUACCUUUCCUGUUAAUGUCUCUUCCACGACCGACGCCUCUUCCACCUCCCCCUCCCGCCGCUCCCCGUCCAACCUCCUCCCUGCCGUCGCGACCCCGCUCCUUGCCGUCGCCUUCCUUGUCCUCUCCUUCGUGCUCUUCUUCCACUUACGCCGUCGUCAAGGAGGAGUUGCCGACAACGACGUCGGGUCCGAUAGCAUCCGCUUCUUCCCUCCCCGUGCAGCUUCUUCCGGCGAGCAGGAGAUCUCGGCCGCCGCGCCUUCGUCCGCUGCCUCUCUCGGUGGAUCGGAGUUACUGUCUGUGGGUGUUGCCGGCAGCUCGCAUAGAGACACGAGCGAGAGCUGUGCUUCCGGAGGCUUCACGACGUACUGGAAGCUCCGGUCGCCGGAGCUCCGUCCGCUCCCGCCACUGCCCCGUCAGGUACUACUAAGCGGUGAAGCCUGCCGUUCGUCGACGUCGGAUGAGGAGAUAUGCUCGGUCAACACUUCCCCACCGCCGCCACCAAAGCAUACCUCGCUCCUGCGGCCACCCACACCAUCACCUCCGAAGCGAAGACCACCAGCCCAUUCGCCACCAUCUUCGCCGUUGGAGGCCGAGAGUGACGAGAAGGCAGGAACCUUGCAGUACUCCCCCAGGAAAAACUUGCGCUCGCCAAGAAAAAUAGGGGACUUUGCCAGACGCGCACUCGUCGGUGGACAAAAUCCGCCACCGCCGGCUCCGGUACCUGCAGCUGGUUCUCACGAGGGACAAAACGUCAAGAUUCCAACUUUCCGGCUGCCGCUUCUCGCGCCUCCACGAGACUCUGUGUUGAAGAAGACGGUGAUUUCACGAGAGAAUCCGAAUGCAGCGGAGGUGCACGAGGAGAAUCUUGGACCAAAGUUGAAGAGGUUGCACUCAGAUAAAUCUCAAGCGAUCCCUGAGCAUUGAAAUCAGGUUCAUUGCACUGAAAAUUUCUGCUCGAAUUAGCAAAAAAAAAUUGUUCUUGCAUCCAUUCUGCAUUACUACGGUUCAAUGCAGCAUCCAGUUCAAGUUAAACCCUUCUAGCAACUGCUCCUUCAAAAUUAUUUUUUAAAAAAUACU